rnacentral:pre_miRNA from 1 species
AAUAGUUUUAUGCCACAUCAGUACUCUUAUCCUGAAUUUCAGGAUUUUAUCUUGAAAAAAAUCAAAUCCAAAUUAAAAUACUAAAAUUCAGGAUAAAAUCUUGAAAUUCAGGAUAAGAAUACUGAUGUAGCAUAAAACUAUU